CUUUUAACUUGUGAGCAACGGAGAUUGCGCGCUCGUGCCCUCAAGUGAGUUCACAUAAGCGCGUGACGACACAUGAAAAUAUCGCGAAAGUGCCGCGAAAUGUAGAUAAUUGGGCGUGGCUUACUCAGCGGUUCUGAGAAUCAAGAGUACCAAAAUAUUCCUGGGCAGUGCUGUGGAGUUUGUGUUAGUACUGAUUGUGUGGUUGUCCAUGAUAACACCACACAAACCAUCCCAGUUAACCAGAUAUGGCAACCAGCUGAUGAUAAAUGUGUGAUAU